CUUUUGCUUUUGUACUUAAAAUUUUUUCAUACAAAAUUUUUUUCUUUUUUUUUCAACAUUAGAAACAAAUUUGCAAGUUUGUACAAAGACUGUGCAUAUAAAUUUGAAGCAAUCCUAGUUUUUCGUAUGAUAAUACAUGAGUUUCAAUUAAUUUUUGGUUUUUAAAUUAACUUUACUUUUUAGUCAAAUGUCAAGAUUUAUUUUACAUGUAAUAAGUAUUAGCGCAUGAGACAAAUUGACUGAGCGAGAGACAAUGCUACGGUACAAGUCUUUUUUCAAAGCAUCUACUGAACACAUAUGUAUGGCAACGCUCUCUACACUGUUUUCAUGAUGUAUGAAUAUGAUAAUAUGAUGUGAUAUAAGUAUGAGGUACCAAAGUUGAUAUAGAAUGACAAUGAUUUUAUGACUAAGUUCAGCCCGAUAUCGAAAUCCGAAUGCAGAGCGGGCGUCAAGUCGGAUGAUCCUUGAAAACCACGUCUUUAGUACUUAGCAGCGGAUUUCAACAUCGAGUCUUUUUAGGUUGGCCGGAAAAUAUAGAAUAAUCGCGAAGUAAAGGCAUCGGAGGCCAACGAGCGGACAACAAAGCGGGCCAUAGAGGCACGUAUGUGCCCGUAACGUUGAGUCGCGAAGGGAACGGCAGGACGGGCCAAACCUCGUGGAGGGCCAGGAGAGGAUAUCAACGACUGGCGAGGAGAGAGUCAUCGAGGAUCGAACGCGCGAGUUGAUAGGGUUGUCGGAUUCUCUCGGGUGUGGAGUAACUCUUAGAUUUAGCUGAAAUUUGCGGUACCUGAUUCUGCUCUCUCCCGAUGAAAACAAAAUGGCUACUGAGCUGCUGCUGCUCUCGGCUAUCGCCGUCCAAGUUACGUCACCGAGUGCUCUUAUGAACUGGUCCCGAGUCCGUUUAGAUCCUAUAGGUAUAAUCCGGAAUGCAGAAUGGGAACGAUAUCUCGAAUACCGGAACGCGCUAUAUAAUAUUCGAAUUGAUAUAAUCAACGAUAUUGAAUAACUCAAGUAAACUGCUCUGCGAACAUAUUGUAACUAGAAAAGGUAAUCGAGGAUCGGAAAGACGACUCUAUACAUAUAUGCAUACCUGGAAAUUUCAGGAGGAAUUCAAAUCGGCAGAAAAGGCCGCCGGUGCUUUCGAAAUACCUAUAUAGCGACUCGGUUUUUGCUACCAAUCUAUAAGUAUAUACCGGUAGUUUAGAUUGGUAGUUAUAGCCAAGUCGCCACAUUUUUCUAUAUGCACGCAGCUGCAGGUUGGCGCUACAAUUUCUAUCUUGUGGAAAAAAGUAAUAUACCUUGUUAUCCUCAUCUAUAAGAUGUUGACUGUAUAAGGAAACGUGGUGUCAGAGAUGAUGUGUAUUUUUAUUUUGUUAUAAUUAAAAUAUACACUGUGUCAUGGGCCAACAAGCGAAUAAUAAUUAGAGUAACAAAAUAGUUGUCUCAUUAAAUUUCUCUAUCCAUAUCCUUUAAUCUUUCUGUGACUUCGUCGCGAUCCUCCUACAUUCCCGUAACAAUCGUUUCACGCCUCUAUACCGCUAAAUCUCAUCGCUUCUCUUACUCUGUAAUUUCUUGAACUUCAUAUUUUAUAUAAUCUUUCUAUUUCUCUCUCUCGCGCGCGCGCGCGCUUGCUCUCGCACAUACUUAUCAUCCAAUCAUUCUCGCUCAUUUUCUCUGUUACUUAAUAUUUUUGUUCCUUUCUUCUCUCGCUUACAUCCCGUAGCGAAAUACGGUAUACACAGUAUACAGAUUUAUUCUCAAAAGCACACUCGGCUUGGCUAAAGCUUUUUUUCAUUUUUCUUCAAUACGAUCGUACCGAGAGGCGUCUGUCGAACUCGCGACAGAAGAUAUAAUGUGCGCUCAAGUCAAGCCGCCGAUACUUUUUCUCAUCUAAUAAUUCUCAACUCGUAAUGGUUUGCGUGGGUGAAAUUUCGGAAAUGCAGACUUUGCAGUUGCGCAGUUGAAAAAUUUCGAGAGAAUCGAGACAAUGAUGCAUGGUUUCGAUUUUUUAAUCAAAAGUUAAUUCAUUAAACGAAGAAUUUUUAACAUCGUGGAACAACGCGGUAAGGCAUGCAGAAAACAAGUACGAAAGAACGAGUCAGAAAUGCGAACAAUGCGAAUGCUAAACCUGCACUUCCAAGAUUUUACAUGCAUACCGUCAAAGA